CCUACGGGAGGCAGCAGUGAGGAAUAUUGGUCAAUGGACGCAAGUCUGAACCAGCCAUGCCGCGUGCAGGAAGUCGACUCUAUGAGUUGUAAACUGCUUUUGUACGAGGGUAAACGCAGAUACGCGUAUCUGUCUGAAAGUAUCGUACGAAUAAGGAACGGGUAACUCCGUGACAACCGCCGCGGGCAUACGGAGGAUUCAAAGGUUUUCCGGAUUUAUUGGGUUUAAAGGGUGCGUAGGCGGUCGUAUAAGGUAGAGGGGAAAUCACGAGGCGCCACUUCGGACUUGCCUCUGAUACUGUUCGUCUAGAGAGUAGUUGCGGUAGGCGGAAUGUAUGGUGUAGCGGUGAAAUGCUUAGAGAUCAUACAGAACACCGAUUGCGAAGGCAGCUUACCAAGCUACUUCUGACGUUGAGGCACGAAAGCGUGGGGAGCAAACAGGAUUAGAUACCCUGGUAGUC
rnacentral:rRNA from 1 species